CCAUGUCACCACCAUAUUUCCACAGCAAGUUCUUCACAUGACCCACUUUGCCAGAUGAUUUAUUGCAUUAGCACAAGCGAAGGAGCUGCCUAUGUCGUCGAUGUCAGUAUCGCAGAAAACGCUCCAGCAGCAGAUUGCGACAGUUGUGUUCGGGGCCAAGAACACUAGGGUUUUUGAGAAAGAAUCGAAUGUCCGGGAGCUUGCUCUGGAAUCGAGAGACGAAAGCAGAGAGGGACUUCUUGUGGAUAGGAAAGUACUUGUGGCGCUGUCCUUGAUCUUGAUUCAGAUUGCAAACCUUGCAAAACUCGAAUUCACUCUUCUUCUUCUUCUCUUCUUCUUCUUAUUAUUAUUANNNAUUACUAUUAUUUCUUUGCUUUAUCGAUCUUCUGAUUUUUUACCAAGGUUCAAAGAUCGCAUACUUCAGCUCUGCAAAUCGGAGGUGGUCUCUGACGGCGUAUGAUACUGC
rnacentral:misc_RNA from 1 species